ACCUGAAUCAUCUCUAUAUUUGAAGAUACCUCUUCAUCAGGAAUCAGAUCUGAUGGAGACAGUGACAUCCCUCCUCAGGAGUCAACACCAAACUGUUACGCAGGGAGUACCUUGCGAGGGUCAUGACUUCCACACCUCCUGGAGGACCAGUUUGCUCUUGUGCCACAAUGAGGCUGAUGAGGAUUUGCAAUUCUAAGAUAAGAUUUAGGACCGCUCCACUUGGCCCGCGAUGCCUCCUGGAGCUCCUGCCAAACGUAUGCAAAUGAACAUGUCCACAAUGGCGCUCACAGCUGCACGCAGUCAGCCAAAGAUGGAGGACAAGGCGGCCAUCCCUUUCAUCUGUAACCCCUGAUCCCUUCUCAGUGACACAUCAUGUUCACCCCAAUGCUGUUCUCCGCCAAAGAACCAUGUCGCCUCCCAGACCAGAAACCCGCUCCCUACAGCUUUUCUCUCGACACACAGAUGAGACUUUGGCUAGGUUCGCUGGAGCACUAGAGUGUCUAGGAUCUGCUCAAGCUUUCUGCAUCAUGGUUCUCAUAGGUCAAGCACAGCCAACUGCUCUUGAACCUUAGUUGGGGCAAAGUGAAAAAGGGAAUGUAAGGAAAAGUAAACAACUUUUUUGUGUACAGGCUCUACUGUGUUGUCAGUUUUUAAGAUAAAAUUGCUGUGCAGAGCAGACAAGCUGAUGGAGGAGGGAGGGUGGAGGAGGUUCAUCCAAAAAGAGUGGGGGUAAAGAACCUGAUUGCUUUAAUCUCAGUGCUUGCGGCACACCCCUUUUCAUAAAGCUCUUUUGCCAAGUGAUUCAGACCCAGGCCCCAGUGUUCUGCACCCCACUAUUGUUCUCAGAUGAAAAUCAAUUCCCUUGAAGACCCUCCUUAAUCCGGUUUUUGGCGUCAACAAUGGCCACUUGUGCACGGCCCUGAUAGACUAAGAGCUGGGAUGAUGCGGCUGUCUGCUCUGAUUCCAGCCCAUUCAGGUAAUGGCGGCUUGCAUCGCUUUGUAGUGCCAAGCGCGGGACUUGACAGGAAGACGUUUGCGAUCAUAAUUUCCUGCAGCGCAGAGGCCUGGGCACCCUACACACCCACAAGACUUUUAAUUAGGGCAGACAACCACAGAGAUUAGAGAUCAGCCUUUAACAAUGACUGUCCCUUUGAACGGGCCUCAUCUUCUGUCCCCACUGAGCCCAUAUGGAGAGCAUAGUGCCAUGAUCACGCUAAUAACGAUCACCUCGGCAAUAGCACUCGGCAGUGGUCUCCAUACUGGACCCCAUGUUCUGUUGAUGUCCAAGGCUCUCUGCUCAUGCAAAUGUGUAUACUCAAAAUACCAUUAUGUGUAAGUCCGAUUCAUGUUUUCAUUUGGAUAAAAUUGUCAAGGAAAAUACAAUAAAAUCUUUUUCUAUCGAGAUUUUCAAAGGCAAAUCAGGGAUUCUUCUGACGUGUCUCGGGUGAAAUCCAGAGUUGCUUCAAUGCUUUGGUCUGAACUAAGUUUUUAGUUGUCUGUUCAAGACAAAAGCAGUAAUGUCUUAGUCUGUGAAGUUUUGGUUUUCUACAAGUUCUGGUGUCAUCUUGUAUUGGAGUCGCACAUCAAAACAGUUCAGUUUCCAUGAUUGCUGGACUCCUUAUAAGCUUUGAUACAGCCUUCCUCUAACUCUCCAAUGACCAACAGGAGAGGCAGCAGAAAAAAGCAUCACAGCUACAAUCCCCCUUAAUUACAGUCAGUGCUAUAUCUAAAAAUCCUGACGAGGGAUACAAAGACCUAAAUCUACAGAGGAGAUUUCAUUACUUGUUCUUCUCCUCACCUUUUCUGUGUUUGGCAAAGAAAAGGAACAAAGGAGGAUCCCUACUGAUUGUGAAGCAGCAGAACAGUGAAACAACAGGACACAACUGAUCGCUCAUGCAUGGCUGGGAUUAGGAUAAAAGUAGAAAGAGCGUGGAGAAGAAAGCACACAACAAAAGGAACAGGGGACUGACAAACUUUUUUCUUUUUCUUUUGUGGUGAAAAGGAUGGAAUGAAAGGUCUGGUCAUAUGAAAAGAUAGAGAGAGAAUGAUUACCAAAAAGAGGCGGUGCUUUUCAGCCGCUGUACGCCUCCGCUCUCACUCUUUUUAACCAGCUACAUGAAAGAUGGGGCUCAAGUCUCUGGUGACACAACAUGGCACAAAUAGACCAGAUAAAAAUGAAUUGUUUAUGACUACGUUACUAUUAAUUCUUUCAUUAUUUGUUUUUAAGGAAAGUCGGUGCUGAACCAGCCAUCUUCAAUGUGAAUUUCAAAGAGCACAAACAAAAAAAAACAAAAAAACAAACAUAAAAUGGAACAUUGUGAAUCCCAUUGACCAACUGGCUUGUGAAAGUUGUUCAUUACACACCAACUAACAAGACCGCAGUCUUUUCAGCCCUUGCCUCCACUAAGUGGAGAUCAUCCAACAAUACUCUGAGUGCCUCCCGUGCCUUUGGACUCAGUUCAAAUUGUAUUCUAUUCCUUAUUUAUCUCCCUCAACAAAAAAAGGAGGGGAAGGCAAGUGAUUAGAAUUCCUGUCUUUGACUUCUCCUUAUUUAAGGGGGCAUUUGUGAAUGUGGGGAGGUGAUGGCUACGCCUCUAUUUCAGCUGGCUCUUUUUAAGUGGUGCACUACUAGUCAUCUCUUAGUUUUGGCUGAGGAUGAGUGGGGGGACGUAGUUAACUUGUCUGGAGGUCAAUGAGGUCACAGUGCGAGUGUGAAGAGAAGCACAAGCUUCCUCAAUAUAGAGAUUUUACAGCUAUUGUGCAAAUGUGAGAGAAGACUUAGCUCACUACUGAAAACCUCAGUGUUUGUGUUUCAUUCAGCAUGAGGUUAAAAUGUACUCUGUUGUAUAUAACUUUUGACCUUUUAACUUUUCAAGUUUUUACA